GAUGAACGCUGGCGGCGUGCCUAAUACAUGCGAGUCGAGCGAACAGAUGAGAAGCUUGCUUCUCUGAUGUUAGCGGCGGACGGGUGAGUAACACGUGGGUAACCUACCUAUAAGACUGGGAUAACUCCGGGAAACCGGGGCUAAUACCGGAUAAUAUUUUGAACCGCAUGGUUCAAUAGUGAAAGACGGUUUCGGCUGUCACUUAUAGAUGGACCCGCGCCGUAUUAGCUAGUUGGUAAGGUAACGGCUUACCAAGGCGACGAUACGUAGCCGAACUGAAAGGGUGAUCGGCCACACUGGAACUGAGACACGGUCCAGACUCCUACGGGAGGCAGCAGUAGGGAAUCUUCCGCAAUGGGCGAAAGCCUGACGGAGCAGCGCCGCGUGAGUGAUGAAGGUCUUCGGAUUGUAAAACUCUGUUGUUAGGGAAGAACAAAUUUGUUAGUAACUGAACAAGUCUUGACGGUACCUAACCAGAAAGCCACGGCUAACUACGUGCCAGCAGCCGCAGUAA
rnacentral:rRNA from 1 species